rnacentral:rRNA from 1 species
GAUGAACGCUGACAGAAUGCUUAACACAUGCAAGUCAACUUGAACUUCGGUUUGGGUGGCGGACGGGUGAGUAACGCGUAAAGAACUUGCCUCACAGAUAGGGACAACAUUUGGAAACGAAUGCUAAUACCUGAUAUUAUGAUUAUAUGGCAUCGUAUAAUUAUGAAAGCUAUAUGCGCUGUGAGAGAGCUUUGCGUCCCAUUAGCUAGUUGGAGAGGUAACGGCUCACCAAGGCGAUGAUGGGUAGCCGGCCUGAGAGGGUGAUCGGCCACAAGGGGACUGAGACACGGCCCUUACCCAUACGGGAGGCAGCAGUGGGGAAUAUUGGACAAUGGACCAAGAGUCUGAUCCAGCAAUUCUGUGUGAACGAUGAAGUUUUUCGGAAUGUAAAGUGCUUUCAGUUGGGAAGAAAAAAAUGACGGUACCAACAGAAGAAGUGACGGCUAAAUACGUG